UCUUAGUUUUGGAGUCUGGAUGCUCAAUCUCCAUAAGCAGUUUUUGCUCCCCACUUUCAUAGAACUUUAAGUUAACUUGUCUGAAAUAAGGAGUAGAAGGGGAGUUAUGACAGCUGGAUCUUAAGUCAUGCAGACCAGACCCUCUAGCCACUCCCUAUGCCCUGUAGGGUCAUGAAGUAGAAUAGAAAGCUUAACCUAACACAACAGAUUAAUGCAUUGCUCUGGCCACAGAAUUGGUUUUUUAUUUGCCACAUGACCAAAAGAUCCAGUCAGGGUUCAUGAACCACCCUUGGCAAAUUGCUUCUGCUCCUCCAAUCCAGUGCUAUCUGCAAACUCAUAAGCCCAGCUUUAGAUCCACAGCCCAGGAUCUCUCUGAUUGUGAGCCACCUUUGCUUGCACCCCUCAGUAAUGCCAUCAGAUGAACAGACUGAACAACAGAUGGGGUCAGAGCCCUCGUGACCUAAAUCAUCUCUGGAAACAACAUCAUAGGCACCUUCAGAGGUGUCUUAUCUUCUAGGACAUUCAUUUCCUCAGGCUGGCAAGGAGAUUUUAUAAGAAUAAACCCGGAGUUGCCUACGGCAGCAGCCUGCACACAGACGCGCAAUCCUUGUGUCAACAUCUCCCUUCAUACAAAAAAGCUAAGAGCAGGACCAGACGCGAUAGAUCGUCCAGGUGCACAGCGAUAGGAAGCUGCGACAGGAAGAGAACAGAUGAACUUUUCAGCGCGUGCCUGAGCAUUGCUUACGCCUGUUUCAUCAGGCAAGUGUUUUCAAAAGAGAUUUCAAAAGAGCGAAAUUAUAGGCCUCGC